UACGUAGGAUGCAAGCGUUGUCCGGAAUUACUGGGUGUAAAGGGAGCGCAGGCGGGACUGCAAGUUGGAUGUGAAAUGUCGAGGCUUAACCUCGGAACUGCAUCCAAAACUGUAGUUCUUGAGUGGAGUAGAGGCAAGCGGAAUUCCGAGUGUAGCGGUGAAAUGCGUAGAUAUUCGGAGGAACACCAGUGGCGAAGGCGGCUUGCUGGGCUCUAACUGACGCUGAGGCUCGAAAGUGUGGGGAGCAAAC
rnacentral:rRNA from 1 species